rnacentral:rRNA from 1 species
CUGACCAGCGACGCCGCGUGGGGGAAGAAGGCCUUCGGGUCGUAAACCCCUUUUGCCGGGGAAGAAGCUCUGACGGUACCCGGCGAAUAAGCCACGGCUAACUACGUGCCAGCAGCCGCGGUAAUCA